AGCAAACUCAAGAGCUUUCACUCCACACUUGCCCACACGUUUUUGCCUCUAAGCUUCCAAGCUUUCAAGUGCUCAAGUGUCCUAGCUUUCCAAAGCUUCAAAAGCUCUCCAACUUCUUCUUCUAAUCUUCUUGUUCAUCUUUACAAGUAAGAAGUGUUGUUUGCUUUAAUAUUCCACUCCUCUAAUCAUCUCUUGUGUGUGUCCACUUUGGUUGAGAGGGUUGUCUCAAAAGUACCAAAGUGUGAGAGAAGGUUUGUGAGCUCAACCAUAAAGCUCUAGUUUGGUUUUAUAGAGUUUCCGGGAAAAUUCUUAGGUCGAGUCUACCUUUAAAGAUUUCAGAGGUUUUUAAGAGUUCCUUGAUACUCUAAGGUACUAACUUACCCGUAAAAGUUAGAGGUUCUUAAGAGUGCCCUUGAUACUCUAAGGUGUGAGUCUACCCGUAAAAGACUGGUUCCUAAGCGAAGUAGCCGUAAAACUUAGAGAGGUUUUUAAGAGUUCCUUGAUACUCUAAGGUACUAACUUACCCGCAAAAGUUAGAGGUUCUUAAGAGUGCCCUUGAUACUCUAAGGUGUGAGUCUACCCGUAAAAGACUGGUUCCUAAGCGAAGUAGCCUUAAAGCUUAGAAAGGUUUUGCCAUUACCUUUAGGCGAGUGAAUUCCGGCAGUUGGUCGGGACUGGACUAGCCCUUGUUUGGGUGAACCAGUAUAAAUCUCUUGUGUUGUUCUUUGUUAAUUAUAGUUCUAUCUUUUACUUAAAAACAACACUUAAUUAAAAAGAUCCCUCUUCCAGUUAUCUGGUCAAAUACAGAGGUUGACUACUUUACGCAGAUCCCUCAUCCAGUUAUCUGGUCAAUUAUCUGAGGUUAUAUUCAUUGCUUUAAAUCCUUAUAUUUGUUCAAAUAUUACUUAUCUUAUAUAUCCUGUUAUCUGGUCACUUACUUAUUUAUCAAUAUAUCCAGUUAUCUGGUCAUUUACUUGCUUAUCAAUAUAUCCAGUUAUCAAUUUGUGUUUACAAUAUAACAAUUUGUGUUUCCAAUAUAACUUAGUAUUCAUAUACUAUAGUUGUGUUUGAAACACUAUCAAGCAAGUUGACUCAGUAUUCAUAUACUGUAGUAAGCUUCAAAGAGUAAUACUUACAUUAUUAUAUCAAUUAAAAUAAUAAUAUCCUUAUAACAUUACUGUUCAACCAUUGGUUUAUUAAGCAUUUACAGGUAAUUCCGCUAUCAACCUGUAUAAAUCGAAAAGAGGCUAUCAUCCCCCCUUAUAGCCUCGGAUCACGAUCCAACAAGUGGUAUCAGAGCCAAGUUCCGUUGAAGUCAGACUAACAUCUUACAACAACAACUAUGGCUUCAAAUGGCGAAAACAGUACUGGUCUUGCAUCGAACAAACCUCCCAGGUUCGAUGGAGUAAAGUAUGACUUCUGGAAGAACAAGAUGAAGUUAUACUUAAAGUCAAUCAACAAUGGAGUCUGUAAAAUCAUAUUGGAAGAUUAUGAGAUUCCAACAAGCAAAGAAGAGACUUGGGGAGCUAUGGAUAUCCUCAAGGAAAACAACAACUCAAGAGCAUUGAAUGCACUAUAUGGCGCCCUCAAUGAAUCUGAGUAUAGCAAAAUUCGAUGCUUGGAUACAUCUCACAAGGUAUGGAAAGCUUUGGAGGAUUUACAUGAAGGAACCUCCCAUGUCAAGGAAAAUAAGCUACUACAUGCCACUUCUCAAUUCGAAAGAUUCUCUAUGAGGGAAGAUGAGACUAUCGCAGAAAUGAACAUUCGACUAUCACAAAUAGUCAAUGAUCUGGCUGGACUAGGAGAUCCAGUAACUGAGAAAAAGCAAGUGAGCAAGAUUCUAAGGAGCCUUCCAAACAAAUAGUACUCAAAGAGGAAUGCUAUCCAAGAAUCUCAUGAUCUGAACAAACUCACAGUGGUAGAACUCUGCGGAAAUCUGAUGGCCUAUGAAGAAGAAAGAUUUAUCUCUAGAGCAAAAGAGGAGAAAAAGGAUAUUGCUCUAAAAAGUCAAAGUGAUAAUGAAUCAUCUGAUGAUGACUUGGCAAUGCUCACAAAUCAUCUAAAGAGAUAUCUCAUGAAAAGGAAAGAAAAGAGAAAUUCAAGGAUAGACUAUCAGAAUUCCGACAGAAAAGUGAGUAAAAACUACAAAGACUCAAAGGAGCCUAUCUGCUACUUAUGCAACAAAUCUGGACACAUCAGACCUGAAUGUCCUCUACUAAAGAUGAAAAAGCGCAUCAAGUACACUGGUCAGAUUCUGAGUCAGAUCAAGAAGACUGCCUCAUGGCUCAUGAGAACGACUCUGAGGUAAACUUUACAAAUACUAGAUUUAAUUCAUUAGAAGAAGCAUUUCUAGAAUUAAUGGAUAAAUAUAAAGCUGAGAAAAAAUUAAGUAAAUCAUUAAGACUAGAAUGCAUGAAUAAAUCACAUAUUGAUCAUUCAAUAGAAUUAGAAGAAUCACAAAAAGAAUGCAUGUUAUUAAAAGAAGAAAAUCAUAAACUCUCAAGUAAAAUAAAAAAGGGAGAUGAAAAAAUCAAAACACUUAAGAGUCAAAAUUUUGAAUUACUCGAUAUUCUAGAAUCUGAAGAAAAUCAACCAAAUGAAAUAAAUGGUGAUAGGGUUGAAUUGUUAGAAUUAAAAAUAGAUAAUUUUGAGGAAAUCAUUAGAAAUAAAGAAAAAGAAACAAUCAUGCUUAAAACUGAAAUAGAAUCUAAGGAUAAACUUGUACUUGAGCAUGAAGAAACUUUACAAAAAUUAUCUGAAAAAUAUAAUAGCAUGCAAUUACAAACUAAAAGAAUAAAUGAGAAAAAUAGUGUUCUUCAGAAAUUCUUCAAUAGUUCAUCAAAGUUAAAUAAUAUGUUGCAAGGCUCGAACUUGGGUCAAAAGAAAUUUGGCUUAGGGUUUGAGUCAAAUACACCUAUUAACAAAACCCUAAAUGCCACAACUUAUAAUGAUCAUUUUGUAAGGGAAUCUAGUUAUACAAAACCUUUGCAUGCUUCAAUACAUAAUAAUUAUGCUUUAAUACAUAAUAAUUAUUCUAGCAAUACAAAGUUCAUUCAUCUAAGAUGAAUCAUCCAAAGCAAAGAUGGAUGACUAAAGAUGAGCUAAGAAGUUAUAAGCAGAUUAAGUAUGUUAAUUCAUCCGGACCCAACUCAGUAUGGGUACCAAAGGAUCUUUCAACUUUUUCAGGAAAAGCAUGUGUCAAAAUGGAUGUUCGACAGUGGAUGCACAAGACACAUGACCGGGGAAUCAAGUCUACUAAACGACUUGAUAGACUUACCUCCUACUAAAAACGCCGAUAACAACGAAGGUACAAUAGUAGGUAGGGGUAAUGUAGGAAAUACAGAAAAACCAUUCUUAAGAAAUGUAUACUUAGUAAAUGGUCUAAAACACAACCUGAUUAGCAUAAGUCAAUUAUGUGAUAUCGGUUGUGUAGUAAAAUUUGAAAAAUACAAUUGUUCUAUCACUAACUCUGAGGGAGUUAUCAUUGCCAGAGGAUAUAGAAAAAGCAAUGCUUAUUCUAUAAACUUUGAUAAAUCUAAACCAACUCAUGACUUCUGCAUGCUUGCUGCAAGUGAUGAGAAAGUUCUGUGGCAUAGACGACUAGGUCACACCAGCUACUCAAAGCUAUCUAGAUUAUCUAAAGAAGAAUUAGUAACCGGGUUGCCUAAAAUAGCUUAUGAAAAAAGUAAUAUCUGUGAUGCUUGUCAAAAAGGAAAGCAACACAAAAGCUCACUUAAAUCUCUCACAAAAAUAACCACUUCUAGACCCUUAGAACUUCUUCACAUGGACUUAUUUGGGCCAACCCAAACCCAAAGUCUUGGAGGAAAAAGAUUCACCUAUGUAAUCAUUGAUGAUUAUUCUCACUAUACAUGGGUAUUCUUUCUAAGAAACAAAAGUGAAACCUUUGGUGAAUUUUCUAAAUUUUGUACCCUAGUACAGAAUGAAAAAAGUUCAUCUAUCAUAAAAAUCAGAAGUGAUCAUGGAAGAGAAUUUGAAAACUCUGACUUUGAAGAGUACUGUAUAUCCAAUGGGAUAAAGCAUGAAUUUGAUGUUUUUCAAGCUCCACCUCAAAAUGGAAUAGUAGAAAGAAAAAAUCGUACUCUUCAAGAAAUGAGUAAGUCUAUGUUACAAGAACAUGACUCCCCUCAAUAUCUAUGGGCAGAAGCUAUAAGCACUGCUUGUUACACUCUAAAUAAGGUAAUCAUUAGAAAAACCUUAAACAAAACUCCCUAUGAACUUUGGAAUAACAGAAAACCCAAAGUUUCAUUCUUUAAGGUAUUUGGGAGUAAGUGCUAUGUUCUCACAACAAGGGGAAACCAAGAUAAAUCAGCACAAAAAUCUGAUGAAGGAAUCCUGGUUGGAUACUCAAAAAGGAGCAAGGCAUAUAGAGUCCUUCUCAAAGAAAGACAAACAUUGAUAGAAUCCCUACACGUUGACUUUGAUGGGUCCAUCUCUGUUCCAAACACAGAAGAAGGAGGAGUUAAAGUCAUUAAACAAAUACCACACUCCCAUAGAAAGAGAUGAUCAAGAAACAAUCGUCUCUGAACUUCCAUCAAAUAAGAAUCUCAGAAACUCAGAACAAAUCAUUGGAGAUCAACACACUAGCAUACAAACAAAAUCAUCUAUACAAGGCAACUAUGUCCUAGAUUGCUUUGUAUCUCAAAUAAAGCCUAAAUAGAUCUAUAUGCAUAUGAACUUAACAUGAUCUAAUGCUAUAUAAACAUACAUGCUUUUAUCAUUCACAUACUAAGCUCUACACGCACAUAACUCAAUAGACAUAGUAAGAUCUAAAUGCAUGUCUAUCAUAUCAAUCACGUUAAUACAUGCCUAUACAUUGAUUUAUAUGCUUCUAUAAAAUAUAUGAUCUGAUAAAUGCUUGGUUUAUAAAAUCUCCUAUGAAAUAUUCAACUACAUAAUCGUUAUAUGCUAUGUGAUUGUGCUUUCAUUAUUCAACUCACUGAUUCAUACAUAUCAUAUAAUCACCUACCAAACAGUUGAUUAUCUUUGAAUAAUGCCAUCUUUUUAAUACUAGUUAAAAACUAUGAUGACAUACAAUCAUAAACAUGAAUAUUUCCUUACUAAAUUAGCUAACUCAUAAUCAAUUCAUGAGACUAAUCCUAUACAUGCAUGUUUUACAUGCCAUCUGUAUGAUCUUUUGAUAAAUACAUAUAAUAUGCAUGCAAAGCAAAAUGAAUCUACCUACAUAUGAGAUGUGCAAUACAUGCAAAUUUCAUGCCAUGUUGCUUAUAUUAUAAAUCUUACUUAUCACUGAUCAUCUGCAUGUUUAGAAGAGUCCUUUAAAUGCAAACUAGUCAACUAUGCAACAUCAUCUAAAUACAACAUAUUGUUAAAUCCAUUCUGCUAUAUUAUAUCCUAAUGAUGUUGGUAAGCUACACCAUGCCUUGGAAACUCAAAACAAAUUAGAUAUGUUUUGAAACUCUCAUUGCUGAAAAAGCCAGCAACUCAUCUGCAACCAUCAAUCACUUGCGACAUCCGGCAACUCUAUUACCAGAGAAACACCUCGCAAGAAGUGCUGACAGAAGACAAAUCCUGCACCUGCACACAUCAAUCUUUGUCUGCAGAAGUUGAAAACAUCGGCUACAAAAGUCUAAAGGCAUGGAGAGUAUAAAAGUUGUGUUGAACUACUAAAAAGGUAUGAAUAAAUAGUUUUUUUAAAACAAAUCUUAAUUUAGAAACAAAUCUCUAGAUAAAUCUAAAUGAUUUGACUCUCCAAGACAUGUGUCAUGGAGUAUUGAAAAACAAACCCUAAGUUGCCAACUCUUCACGGGUAGACAUGACUUAAAGCUUGUAAAGCUUUACAAGUAAUAUCUGAUAAUUCAGAAUCCGGACAGACAUGAUCUGCCAAAAGAUAGAAUUUCUCACUAUAAAAGGACAGGAAGAACAAUCAAAACAUAUCUUUUCCUCUUCCUAACAUCAGUCUGUCCCAAGGAUGUUGAUUCAAGAAAUCGAUCCUGAGAAGAAGGAAUUAACAAUCAUACCAGACUGUCCUUCCAGUCCGGUAUACAACCCUAAUCCCUCAAGCAGCAAAGUUAUCCGGAAGAAACGCACCAGAAAGAGUCCAGCAUCAGAAAUAUUCCAAGGAACACCAACAUGGAUCUCUCCAAUAGCCAAGUUUUCCUAUAAUCUCAUUCUCGAGCAAAGAAUGAUCUUUGAGGAACCUGUUCUACUCAGAUCUCUCAACUGCAAGGUGAUUGAAGGACUACUAAACUUCAACAGGCUUACUGACUACCUUGAGAACAUAGGGAAGCUCAGAAUCUACAAAUCUGAGUUGGCUCAGUUCUAUGCAAAUCUCAAGUAUGAGACAGUAGGUACUCAAGUGAUCACCACCAAGGUAAAUGGAAUAUCUCUCGUUCUAGGAGCUGAUAAACUUGGAAUAUGGAUAAACCUACCCAACAACGGAGUAAAGCUUCAAAACUACAGAAGCCUGGAUGAGCUACCUUUUAAGUGCAGCUGGGAGAUUCUCUGGAAUACUCUCACCCACAGGUAUAACCCUAAGAGCACUGAUAAGAUCCUAAAGACAAUGCUCAUACCAGAAGCUUCAAUCUUUCUGAAGAUCAUCUCAUACAACAUAUAUCCUCAAGUUGAAGAUAAAGAAGAACCAUCAACAUUGAUAUUAGUAGCAAUUUACUGCCUGCUGUCAAAGAUCAGAGUGAACUGGGUAUCACUGAUCAUGCACAAUUUGGCUACAUCAACCAAGAACACUGGAGCUCGCUACUACCCAAGGAUGCUUUCAAAACUACUCAGUCCAGGGUACUUUGGAAUUCCACUCUAUCCACAUCCAAUCAUAUCUCACAUUCAGCCAUUCACUGCAAGCUCCUUCCAAAAGACUUGGAGGAACACCUAUGAUCCAAACUCACCAAACACUAAUGUGUUUUUGAAUGAGGAAGUCAUAAGAGUUAGACAUCAAGUAAGGAUGCUGGAAAAAGGAAUGGGAGAUCUGGAAGAGAUGGUGUCUAUAACAAGGCAACAGCUAGAUGAUGAAAGAGAGUACAACCUGGAGCUGGCUAACCUAUUUCAUGAGUUUAGCUCCAAGGUCAUCCCAACCAUGCACCACCAUGACUGAACUACAUCUGCCCUAAGAAGUAUUUUGAUGUUUUAAGUACUUAAUCUUGUAUCUGUUUUUCUGUUUUUUGGAGAUCCAUUCAUGGAUCGUUGUCUCAUUGAAUAUGAGAUUCAUCCUGUCAUGUUUCACCUCUUUUGUUGAAAUGGAAAAGUUCUAUGAUUUUAAUCAUCAUAAGGGUAUGCAUGCAUAAAGAAAAACAUAAUAUUAGCAAUAUCAAAAACUUGAGGGCUGCAUGGACAUUAGUUAAUACUUCAGGGUAUAAUUAAAAUUCUUUUGAAGUAUUAAUUGACUUUUCAAAGUCAUGAACUUUAAAACUUCAAGGGAUUAAACAUAAAAUAUUUUUGAAGUUUAAAAAGAUUUACUUAAAACUUAAGGAUUAAAGGUAUAUUUUUCAGUAAAUAUAGAAUUUUAUGAAACUUCAAGGGCUUAAAGAAAAUCAUUUGUGAAGUUUUUAAGAUUCACUGAAAACUUAAGGAUCAAAAAUAUAUUUUCAGUGAAUAUAAAGUUUUGUGAAACUUCAAGGACUUAAACGUAAAUCGUUUAUGAAGUUUUUAAGUUUUAAUAGAUUCACUGAAAACUUAAGGAUCAAAAAUAUAUUUUCAGUGAAUAUAAAUCUAGUUAAAACUUCAGGGACUUAGAAUCAAUAUUUACAUGAAGUUUUAAUCAGAAAAAUUACUUAGAAAUAUUUAAUACUUCCAAGGUUUAAAAUAAUAUUUUUUAAGUAUUAAUCUAAGUAUUCAUUAUAACUUUAAAGGGAUUAAAUUAUCUAUGAAGUUAUUCAUUAAGGGUUCAAAGGAUACCAUUACAGUGAAUAUUUAGUUAAAACUUCAAGGACUUAAAAUUAAUAUUUACAUGAAGUUUUCAAUGCUUAGAAUUGGUUAAUACUUCCAAGGUUUACAUGAAAUAUUUCAAGUAUUAAUCUAAGUUUUUAUUAUAACUUCAAAGGGCUUAAAUGAAAUUUUGUUUUAAGUGAAGUUUUACUACUAAGGCUUUAAGGACUGAAAUGAAAAUUUUAAAUCUUUUAAAACUUAGUGAAUAUUUACAUGAUUAUAUUUGUCACUAAGACAUAGAUUUUAAAAUUUUAAAUGCUCAAUUUCUCCUUAAAGCAAUUAGUGAAUAUUAUGGAUUUAUACAUAUCAUUCACUAAUAUCUUAUGGAUUAUAACAUUAUAAUCCAUACAUGUUAAGAUCAUCUUCAUCCAUAACACACACAUGGAUUAUUAUUCAUUGCAUGAUCUCAACACAAGGCAAUUUAAAUUAUCAUAUCAUACUUGCCUUAUAAUGUAUAUCAAAAUUGGCUUCAAUCCAAUAUUUUAUCAAUGAGCAUAAAUUACAUGUUAUUUCUCCUUUAUGAUUGAUUAACACUCUUAUAAGCAAGACGCCACAUUUGGUCAACCACACAAAUCGAAUUUGUGAUUAAAGCUCAAUAAGGUAUGAAGUUUUAUUUUCUCCACAAAUUAGAUAUGUCCUAUCAUUAGGGGGGAGAUACUUCACAGGUAUCUAUUUUUAACUUUGUCGAUACCUUAUUGUUUUAAGGGGGAGAAAUCAUGCAUGAUCCACUGCUUUUAAAUUGAAUAUUAUGGGUCAAUAAUUCAGGGGGAGCAUGCUCAUAAGGGUAAAAUAGAAUAUUGACUAGACAUGAGUUAAAACAUAUAUGCCAUCGACAAAGGGGGAGAAUGUAGAAUCAAAAUUGUCGACAUAGGAUUAUAUUUUAAUCAUGUCAAUUUAAAUCCUAAUUACACUAUUAAUCAAUAGGGGUUAAAUAAGUCAAUCGAUAUUAAACCUAACUCCAGUUAAUUAAUUAAUCAUUUGAGUUAAGGGUUUAAGUCAAAGUUAAAAGUCAAACUGGGAGAAUUGCAUUUUCACCUUGAAUAUUAUUAUUUGGAAUAAUUGCAUUUUCACCUUGAAUAUUAUUAUUUGGAAUAAUUGCAUUUUUACCUUGAAUAUUAUUAUUAUUAUCUUUUGACACUUUAUUCAAGGUAUAAUAUUCCAAGGGGACAAAACACUAUUCAAGUUUGAAUUUAUACAAAAAUAAGAUUCUCCAACAAAGAUAAGAUUCUCCAACAAGGGACAAAACACUAUCCAAGGAAAACACUAUUCAAAGACAAAGCUUGGAUUUAUGUGAAAAAUCAAGGAGACAUCCAUUGAAGAUCCAAGGGUGGACAUUGAGUGGCCAAGGCUAUAAAUAGAAGGGUAAUCCCCUCAUUUUCACUCACCACACUACAAGCAAACUCAAGAGCUUUCACUCCACACUUGCCCACACGUUUUUGCCUCCAAGCUUCCAAGCUUUCAAGUGCUCAAGUGUCCUAGCUUUCCAAAGUUUCAAAAGCUCUCCAACUUCUUCUUCUAAUCUUCUUGUUCAUCUUUACAAGUAAAAAGUGUUGUUUGCUUUAAUAUUCCACUCCUCUAAUCACCUCUUGUGUGUGUCCACUUUGGUUGAGAGGGUUGUCUCAAUAGUACCAAAGUGUUAGAGAAGGUUUGUGAGCUCAACCAUAAAGCUCUAGUUUGGUUUUAUAGAGUUUCCGGGAAAACUCUUAGGUUGAGUCUACCUUUAAAGAUUUCAGAGGUUUUUAAGAGUUCCUUG
rnacentral:lncRNA from 1 species